GGAAGGGUGGCUCGAGUGGUUUAAGGCACCUGACUCGAAAUCAGGCGUGCUGGGAAACCGGCACCGGGAGUUCGAAUCUCCCCCCUUCCGCCA
rnacentral:tRNA from 1 species